rnacentral:tRNA from 1 species
GCCUCUCUGGCGUACGUGGUAACGCACCCGUCUCGUACUCGGGAGAAGCCGGUUCGACUCCGGCGGGAGGCA